CAGGCGGGGCCCACGUCCCUCGGCCAGUGAGCGCCCCGUCCGGCUGCCGCCACCUCAGCUGCGGCGUCAGUGUCAGUGUCGCAGGCCGAGCUGCAAAUCCUGGGAGAGGGCCCAGAGGAGGGAGGACGGCGUUGCGCCCGCUGGGGAGCGGAAGCUGUGAGAGAUCUGGCUCCACAGGUUCGAGCCCUGGUCCCCGGAAGAUCCCACAUGCAGUGGAGCAAAUAAGCCCCUGCGCCACAACGACUGCGCCUGCGCUCUAGAGCCCGCGAGCCACAACUACUGAAGCCCCCACAAUGAGAAGCUGAGAAGCCCGUGCGCCCCGUCGAAGGGUAGACCCCGCUCGCACAACUAGAGGAAAGCCUGCGUGCAGCAAUGAAGACCCAACGCAGCCCAAAAGAGAAAAAAAAAGACAAUUGGGGCUGUACAGCAGAGAUUGGCAAAACAUUGUAAAUUAAUGAUACUUAAAUUGAAAAAAUAAAAUUUAAAAAAAAGACAA